rnacentral:piRNA from 1 species
GAACAUGGGAGUGCAGAUAUCUCUUCACC